AUACGGAGGAUGCGAGCGUUAUCCGGAUUUACUGGGUGUAAAGGGCGCGUAGGCGGGAUGGCAAGUCAGAUGUGAAAUCUCCGGGCUCAACCCGGAAACUGCAUUUGAAACUGUCGUUCUUGAGUAUCGGAGAGGCAAGCGGAAUUCCUAGUGUAGCGGUGAAAUGCGUAGAUAUUAGGAGGAACACCAGUGGCGAAGGCGGCUUGCGGGACGACAACUGACGCUGAGGCGCGAAAGCGUGGGGAGAAAACAGGAUUAGAUACCCUGGUGGUCCACGCCGUAAACGAUGAAUACUAGGUGUGGGGGGACUGACCCCCUCCGUGCCGCAGUUAACACAAUAAGUAUUCCACCUGGGGAGUACGACCGCAAGGUUGAAACUCAAAUGAAUUGACGGGG
rnacentral:rRNA from 1 species